rnacentral:rRNA from 1 species
CAGGAUGCCCCAUAACGGCGAGUGAAGGGGCAACAGCUCAAUUGAAUCUGCGCCCCCGGGCGCCCGAAUGUAUUGGAGAGGGCGCCUGGCGUGUCCCCGGCUAAGUCCCUUGAACAGGGCGUCGCAGAGGUGAGAACCCCGUACGUGGCCGGCGGCUUUCGCCGCGCGAGGCCCUUCGACGAGUCGAGUUGUUUGGGAAUGCAGCUCCAAAUGGGAGGUAAAUUUCUUCUAAAGCUAAAUACCGGCCAGAGACCGAUAGCGCACAAGUAGAGUGAUCGAAAGAUGAAAAGCACUUUGGAAAGAGAGUCAAAAAGCACGUGAAAUUGUUGAAAGGGAAGCGCUUGCAGCCAGACUCGCCCGCGGUCGCUCACCCGGGCCCCCUCGCCCGGCGCGCUCGUCCGCGGGCGGGCCAGCAUCAGCUCAGGCGGGCCGGACAAAGGCCCCGGGAACGUAGCUCCCCCCGGGGAGUGUUUAGCCCGGGGCAGAACGGGCCAGCCGGGGCUGAGGCCCGCGCACCCCCGCUAGGAUGCUGGCGUAAUGGCGGCAAGCGGCCCGUCUUGAAACACGGACCAAGGAGUCUAACAUCUGUGCGAGUGUUUGGGUGUCAAGCCCGGGCGCGCAAUGAAAGUGAACGGAGGUGGGAACCCCCCUCCCCCGGGGGGCGCACCAUCGACCGAUCCUGAUGUCUUCGGAUGGAUUUGAGUAGGAGCACGGCUGUUGGGACCCGAAAGAUGGUGAACUAUGCCUGGAUAGGGUGAAGCCAGAGGAAACUCUGGUGGAGGCUCGCAGCGGUUCUGACGUGCAAAUCGAUCGUCAAAUCUGGGCAUAGGGGCGAAAGACUAAUCGAACUAUCUAGUAGCUGGUUCCUGCCGAAGUUUCCCUCAGGAUAGCAGUAACGCCUUCAGUUUUAUGAGGUAAAGCGAAUGAUUAGAGGCCUGGGGGUUGAAACAACCUUCACCUAUUCUCAAACUUUAAAUAUGUAAGAAGUCCUUGUUACUCGAUUGAACGUGGACAUUUGAAUGCACCGUUACUAGUGGGCCAUUUUUGGUAAGCAGAACUGGCGAUGCGGGAUGAACCGAACGCGGGGUUAAGGUGCCAGAAUGCACGCUCAUCAGACACCACAAAAGGUGUUAGUUCAUCUAGACAGCAGGACGGUGGCCAUGGAAGUCGGAACCCGCUAAGGAGUGUGUAACAACUCACCUGCCGAAUGAACUAGCCCUGAAAAUGGAUGGCGCUCAAGCGUGCUACCUAUACCCCGCCGCCAGGGCAGGGCUUACGCCCUGGCGAGUAGGCAGGCGCGGGGGCUCGUGACGAAACCUCGGGGGUGACCUGGGCAGACACC